rnacentral:rRNA from 1 species
AUGUACGACAGUCAUCGCAAGGUACUAUUCCGCACAUUGCUGUCCCUGGGAGGACGCUGCUACAUCAGCUCGCCAGAGGGUUCGGUCUACCUUCUUGAGCUGCAGCCGCUACCUCGGCUGCUGGAGGUGGUUGACCAGCGCUGCUUUGCCGAGAAAGACUACAUUUGGCUCAAUCACAUUAUCUCGCUCCUGGUCCGUGGCACCGGUGGGAGGAUGCUGAUGGUGCGGUACUGGAGAGGCAUGGAGCGGUUCGGCGGCGUUGAGGCAUACAAUCGAAAGGAGCUAUUCACAGUGGACGGCAUCACCAGCCGCAUUGAGCUGUUGGAGGUGGACAUCGCCGGCAGGAGGCUGGUCUCCGUCAGGAGCCUUGGUCAGAACGCGGUGUUUGUCGGCCUGACGCACUGCUUGCACAUCUCCACGGAGACAUUCCCCUCCAUUUCUGCCGACUCAGUAUACCUGGGCUGCCGUCAUCAACAAUCUUAUGGGUUCAGCAUCUAUCAUAUCAACAAGAAGAAGAACCACAGGAGGGUUGCAGCCAAGCACAAGUUCGUCUAUGAUAUGACACAGGGUUAUACUCCGGAUGCCAGACCCUACAACCUUGACGAGUAUCUUGUACACUAUGUCGACCGUAGACACAACUUCAGUAAGUCAUGUAUGAAUCAUAUCAACUCUUGCUUUGCCUAG